ACCAGCGAGGGUGUAUGGGGGCCUGGGGGCGCUAACGCCCUGGGCCUGUCUGCCCAGCACGCGGUCCCUUUGCUCCCUGUGCCCCAGCAGCACAGAAACCAUGAAGCACUGGCAGGUCCCCUAUGAGGUGCCAGCCUCAUCCACCUAAACUAAGGGUGGGCGUCCAAGCAUGGCUCCUGUGCCUACCAGGAAGGUGAACUAACUACCGGAAGUGCCAUCCUGACCUGCGGCCCCAAGCCUGGACAGCGUUUCCACCAGCUGGGGGUGGGGUGGGGGUGGGGAGCAAGGAGAGACUGGGAUGGGGAGGAGAAGGAAGACAACCCUCCGGACUGGAAGUUUGAAAUCCUCUCUUUAAAACACGAACUGGCGGGCUGGACUUCUUAUAUAACACUCCUUUAGUGACUGAAGCACUUGUCACAACCACCUUGGGGACCUAGCUUCAAUGUCCCCACUUUCAGGAAGUCAAGGUAUUUGCUCAGAUAGCACGUGGCUGAGCAGCGGCAGUAAAAUCAGAAUCCCCAUUUCCACUCUUAGACCAGUGAGCCCUCCUGCACCCACGACGGAGACUGAGGAGGAGAAAAAUAACCAGCCAUGCAAAAUCCAAAAAAAAAAAAAAAAUCCUUUCAAGAUUAUGAAAUCAAAGAGCAUUUUGUUGUUUCUUGGACGUUCUUCUUACUACUCUGAGGCCGCACAAUUCAACAGACAUCUCUUUAUUGUUGUUAAAGUACUUGCUCUAUCUCCUGCCUCUGUUACUAACUUUCACACCAACCGAGAACGCAAGCGUUUACCUGGGCUCCAUCCUUGGACGGCGAACGGGUCGCGCAGGCUUCCGGCCUCCUCCUCCCUGGGGUUUGGUUCCAAGGCUCCCGCAAAAUCUCGAAAUCACCCCGGAUCGGCGCGGCCACCGAGGGAAGCAGCCCGGCUCUGAACAAGCCCAGGCAAGCCCAGGCAGAGCCCGCUUCGCGGUCCUUCCUCCUGCGCGAACCACCCGGCCCCGGGGCGAGAGACGCGUCUCUCUGGCCCCAGAUCCGUGGAGUCGUCUCUCUCCAGAGGACCGGGCGCUGGCCCUCUCCUCCACCUGAGAAGGACAAGGGAGCAGAGCCACCGAAACGCCUUGACCUGGGCGGCUGACAGAUGAAGGAGUACAUUUGGGAGACUCCAGACUCCGUCCGUCUCCAUGGGCUUUCCCAGACAUCCUGAGUGGAGCAUUCAAGGAUAUGGUCCGAGAAGGUUCCUCUGCCAUCACCCAAGAGGAUGCCGGAGUUGAGAAUCCCUUCUUACCCCCCAGCUGGAAAGGCAGCCUCACUUUCCAGACCGGUGUCCACGAUUCAGAGCAGGAGGUCCAAAGCCAGGGCCCAAACACAGCAUCCCUGGGCUCGUCUGAAAGCCUUCACCCUCCCAGCCCUACCGAGGUGCCACACAGUCUUGUUCUUCUAUGGAGGUUUCCGCAAAUCGCGCCCCACACUUGGUGGCUGCUCCGUACAGAAGCAGGUGAAAAUGAUCCAUCCAAGGAUUCACGAAGACAGUCGCUGGUACCAGACCCCGGCUUGUCAUCCUUCCCAGCCGGGGAGGAAGGCUGCCUCCGGCUCCAGCCCUCAACUCCGAGGAAGUCGAGUCGUGCAGAAAA
ensembl:lncRNA